CAGUACUUGUCGUUCCCUUGCAAUCCGAUGAGCGCUGCAUUGUUUAACGUUUUAACGAAACCUUACGAAUAUCUUGGACCAGUUGUGAACUGCAUGCUUCUUCCAGAAGGAUUCGAUAGAAAAUGGUAUUUCCAGUAAAGGAAAAACAUCUUCAACGAUUUCAUUUUCUAUUAAAUUUUGACAGGCCAAGAGGUAUUUAUUUAUUCUUAUUUUGCAAGGUGAAGUGUUACAAUUAUAACACUGUAACACUGAAAUGGAAAUAAGUAUAGGUAAGUUUACUUGAAUAUUAACGUGUUUUAUUUAUAAACACUGUAGUGUAAAGUAUGCUUUACAAACAACAUGUGUGUUAACUAAGCUUCAGUAGGUUGACGCAAUCGACACAAUUAUAUAUAAAAUAUUUAUAAUGUUUUUAUUAAAUUAAUGUUAUAACUUAUUUUAAUACUUUAUCUUACAGUGAAUAUUUAAAUUAAGCGCAGUGUUGUGAACACCAAUUAUUUAAUUAACUAAGGUAUACAGUAAACUUUUACGAAGACUCAAUCUUAUUACAUCCCAAAGCCAAUAAAUUCUUUUCGUAUGUCGAAAAAUAUUGAAAGUAAAAGUAAAUUUCGUGUAUGUGUAUUUCAACAUUGUGAAUUUUUAGUUUCGUCUUCUCAACUACGUGUUUAUCAGUACGUUUGUGUAUAAACAACUUUUUUGUUCGACGGAUUCGUGAUAUUGCUGCAUACCUGCCUUGUACCCGGCUACGCGUGCGGCACACGGCAGUUGUUUUACCGCGUGGUCCGCGAGCGUGUCUCUCUAAUCGUCACGCGUUUUGAGGUUUUAAUUGAGGAUUAAUCGUCGUGUAUUCUUUCGGCCAUCGGCAAAAUAUUCGCAAUGGGCAUGUGUGCCUGUUUUGUUUAAUGAUUUAUGGCGGUUAGAGUCUUCUUAUGUAAGAAAUAAGUGUCCGUUAAUCCCUGCGCGAGUUUUCAGUUGAUAGAAUAUAUUACAGGAUAGAAAUUCUCCUCAUCAAUGCACAGGUGGGUGGAUAAUUAAAAUUUUUCGCAGAAAGUUAAGGCGGUUUAACUUAAAUUGACUUAAAUUGUGGUCGACCACGCUUACUUUGCCGUCGGCCGUCGGUUCGGUCAUGUUUUCAAUGAUCACGUAUACAUUUUUAAUCGAAUUGCAUCAUUAAAUUAAUAAUUUCUUGUUGAAAUAAAAUCUUGAACGGUUUUUCGUUUUCGCAGUCUCAGUAUAUCUUAAUAUUUACAAAAAAUAGUUAUUUUUAUCGCCUUUAACCACUGUGUUGCUACGCGCCGUUGCUUGCCGUCUGUUGAUUUAGAUGUUUUCCGCCGGAUAUUCUAUCAAUUUGUAAUGAUGCUUCACCCGUCGGCUACUUUAUACAGUUGGUGCUACCAUCUAUUAAUAAAUAUAUAUGCACAAUAUAUUAAAAUGUAAGUGUUUUAUUUUUGUAGCACCCUUUUGCUCAAUUUUUCGAUGCUUUUCGGGUAAAAUCUCUGAUUUUAUAUUAAAAUAUUGUUGUUAAUUUGUAAAUUUCCAUCUUCGUAUUGUGAAUAUUGACUCCCUUUGAGUUUCUAAAAUUUUCUUUUUGUACACCCUGUAUAUUAGUUUUCCUAACAGCACGUAGAAAAUCACCUUUAGUUGUGAGUUUUGAGUGUUCUCUGCUUUGAACAUGCAAUUUUCUAUUCUAGAACACCCUGUAUAUAUGUUUUCCUUUGCGUUCGUGAAAAUUUUGCUUUAGCUGUCGUUUUUAGUAUUUUCCCGUUUGCACUUUGAAUUUCCUUUCUGAAACACCCGGUAUAUUAGUUUUCAUUUUCAAUCACAUAGUAAAUAGGUUAUUCGCUAAUUUCAUUAUUCCGGUAGAACUUUACAAAGUAGUACUUGUACUGCUUCAAUAUGGCGCCACGUAUUCUGCUGACUUAUAAAUUAUAAACUUGUAUUCUAUUGUUAAUAAAGAAAUAGUAAGAUA